UACGGGGGGGGCAAGCGUUGUUCGGAAUUACUGGGCGUAAAGGGCUCGUAGGCGGCCAACUAAGUCGGAUGUGAAAUCCCCAGGCUUAACCUGGGAACUGCAUCCGAUACUGGAUGGCUUGAAUCCGGGAGAGGGAUGCGGAAUUCCAGGUGUAGCGGUGAAAUGCGUAGAUAUCUGGAGGAACACCGGUGGCGAAGGCGGUUCUCUGGGCAUGACCUGACGCUGAGGAGCGAAAGUGUGGGGAGCGAACAGG
rnacentral:rRNA from 1 species